GCUGCGAUAGCUCAGUGGUAGAGCGAAGGAUUGCAGUCGUCCAACGACAACCUAUCCUUAGGUCCAGUGUUCGACUCACUGUCGCAGCU